rnacentral:rRNA from 1 species
CAAUAGCGUAUAUUUAAGUUGUUGCAGUUAAAAAGCUCGUAGUUGGAUUUCGGAUGGGAUUUUCCGGUCCGUCGUUACGAUGUGCACUGGCCAGUCCUAUCUUGUUGUCGGGGACUAGCUCCUUGGAUUCACUUCCUGGGACUAGGAGCUGACGAGGUUACUUUGAGUAAAUUAGAGUGUUCAAAGCAAGCCUACGCUCUGAAUACAUUAGCAUGGAAUAACACGAUAGGACUCUGGCUUAUCUUGUUGGUCUGUGAGACCAGAGUAAUGAUUAAGAGGGACAGUCGGGGACAUUCGUAUUUCAUUGUCAGAGGUGAAAUUCUUGGAUUUAUGAAAGACGAACUUCUGCGAAAGCAUUUGUCAAGGAUGUUUUCAUUAA